UUGAGAUCAUCUAUCUGCUGACCGGAGAGAGAUUUCCUCUUAUGAAGUCAGGUGAUCAUAUGACCAUCACAGUGCCUCCAUGUGGCUCUCUAAAACCUGAGAGACGCAACAUGCAGAAGAUUCUAGAAGUCACCAAGAAGAUGAUGGAGCUGCUGACAGGAGAGGUGAGCGGUGUUGGGAAUUUUGGGACAUUAUCCAGUAACAGACAAGGGAUGUGUCUAGAACAUGGACUCGUAGAGGUGGGUGAAGAUCUGAUGGAUAUAAAAGCUGUGAUUAAAGAAGAA